rnacentral:rRNA from 1 species
GGCUCAGAUUGAACGCUGGCGGAAUGCUUUACACAUGCAAGUCGAACGGCAGCACGGACUUCGGUCUGGUGGCGAGUGGCGAACGGGUGAGUAAUAUAUCGGAACGUGCCCAGUCGUGGGGGAUAACGUAGUGAAAAUUACGCUAAUACCGCAUACGAUCUAAGGAUGAAAGCGGGGAUCGCAAGACCUCGCGCGAUUGGAGCGGCCGAUAUCAGAUUAGGUAGUUGGUGAGGUAAAGGCUCACCAAGCCAACGAUCUGUAGCUGGUCUGAGAGGACGACCAGCCACACUGGAACUGAGACACGGUCCAGACUCCUACGGGAGGCAGCAGUGGGGAAUUUUGGACAAUGGACGCAAGUCUGAUCCAGCCAUUCCGCGUGCAGGACGAAGGCCUUCGGGUUGUAAACUGCUUUUGUACAGAACGAAAAGGUCUCUAUUAAUACUAGGGGCUCAUGACGGUACUGUAAGAAUAAGCACCGGCUAACUACGUG